UGAGGUACAGCUCAGUGGUACAGCACUUGCUUAGCAGGCAUGAGACUCUGGGUUCAAUCCCCAGCACUGCAA
rnacentral:tRNA from 1 species